rnacentral:lncRNA from 11 species
AAGGAGAAUAUAUGAAGUCACGUUAUGCCCGUUACUAUUGCUAGAUCAGAUACGAUUCAACCAACGUUUGGUGAUCACAUUAUCCCCACUACUAUUGCUAGAUUAGGCAGAGGCACGUCACGUGAUACGAUUUUUUGUUUGGCAAUAGUGGGGAUAAUAUGACGUCAAAAUAUCCCCACUCUUGUUACUAGAUUAGACACGUCACGUGACACUAUACGACGCUUAGCUUGGCGUAGUGGGGGUAAUGUAACAUCACAUUAUCCCUAUCACCAUUGCUAGAUUCAGGCACUUAGGUGAGAUGAUUUUCGUUUGUGGGCUUCGUCGUGAGUUUCGUCGCAGUGGGGAUAAUGUGAUGUCACAUAUUCUCUCUCUGUGGAAAUUUGCUGGAAAAAAACUAAGCUACUAAGUAUAAUAAUAGAAUCUGGCCAUUCUGAUUGCUGCCAAAAGUUAUAAUUGCAACAUAGAAUCAUAAAACGUGUAUCACAAUAUCGUGCAUAAAGAAUAUCACGUUAUGGUACGAAAUUGAAAGAUUAAGAAGGAUUUUAACAUGGUUGGUGUGCGUCACAAUCAGGAUUUAACAUCUUCAACAACAUUAGCAAUCGAUAACCAACAUUACAAAUCUAAAAAUUUUCCAGUCAUAGAAAAAGAAUAAAUCAAAUAUGUUUUACAAUUACACUUUAAUUCCUGAAUUAAAUAGAGAUAUAUCUUUCUAUUUCUGUAAAUUCAUCUAACGAAUAGAAGAAUAAAUUAGAAAGAAAGGAAAAAGGAGAAAAUGGAUGACAAGAAGAGACAAUAAAAUGGAGGAAGUAAGAAUAAUAAUGUCACAGGCCUGUAAUUAAUUUAAGAUAUAGAGACAGGGAAAAAAGAGAAUGCACACAUUCCUGUUUGCAUCUUUGUUUUUGGGAAUUAUGGAAUUAACAUCAUGUAAUAAUUUCAAUAAUUGAACAUUGUCAUAAAACAUCAAUUAUCCAACGAGAAAAUAUUAUGACUCCAUCAGAUUGUGGACAACAUGAGGAUUUAUAUCUUCUUCAUGAUAGUGGUGAUAGGAAUACAAAUAUUUAUAUAUAAAAAAUACAGCCAUCGAAUGUGCCUUAUUUUUUAUUAAACUUCAAUUCUCAUACGAUUUAUAAUUUAACCCAAUAUUUGUGGAAAAUAUUGUAAAAUAUUAUUUGGUUUUAUGCAAUUAUAUCAUUAUUAUACUAUAAAUAAUGAAAGAGCAUGCAUAUGAAUUAUUGGUCUAAAUAUUGAAAAUGGACACAAAAA